AUGAAGUCGUCGCUGCGGAAGCUGCGCGGGUUCGCGCUGCAGCGCCACGAGCAGCGGGUGGACCGCCACCGCGACCACUCCACCGCCGCCAAGGCCGCGGACGAGCUCCUCGCCGCCGCCCAGGAUAUGGCAGAUAUGAGGAACUGCUAUGAUAACUUGCUUGCUGUUGCAGCAGCAAUAGCAAACAGUUCAUAUGAAUUCUCUGAAGCACUACAAGAAAUGGGGACUUGUUUACUGAAGAGAGUUACACCAACUAAAGAUGGAAUUAAUGAUAAGGUUUUGCUGUUGCUCGGGAAAUCGCAGUUUGAGCUUCGGAAACUUGUAGAUAGUUAUCGUGUUCAUGUUCUUACUACCAUUACCACUCCAUCACAGUCCCUACUUAAUGAGCUUCAAACUGUAGAGGAAAUGAAGCGACAGUGUGAUGAAAAAAGAGAAUUGUUCGAAGUCUUGCUAAAUGCGCAGAAAGAAAAGGGAAGAUCUAAGAAUUCCAAAGGUGAUCCUGCUGCAUCACAGCAAUUGAAACAAGCUCAGGAAGAUUAUCAAGAGGAAGCAACUCUUUUUCUGUUCCGGUUAAAGUCAUUGAAGCAAGGACAGUUUCGAAGUCUUUUCACACAAGCUGCUCGGCACCAUGCCGCCCAGUUAAAUUUAUUCAGAAAGGGUGUCAAGUCUCUUGAGGCUGUGGAGCCACAUGUUAGGCUUGCUGCCGAGCAACAACACAUCGAUCAUCAGUUCAGUGCACUUGAAGAUGAGGAUUACUCUGUUGAAGAUGAAAAUGAUGACGAUUACAAUGACAGUCAUGAUGGAGAACUCUCUUUUGAUUAUGGAGAAAGUAAGGAAACUGCAGAAGCUGGUCAUGCUUCCCGUAGUCCUACAGAGGAAUUUUUUGAUAGAAGCAAAGGAGAUUAUUCCUCUUUUCCUGGUGAAAGACAAAGACCUGUAAGCCAGUCAGCUCCACUUUUUCCUGAAAAAAAGCUUGAGACAGCGGAAAGAGUAAAAGAGUUGCGGCGUUCUGCAACGAGGAAGAUACAUACUUAUGUUUUGCCUACUCCAAAUGAUGUUCAAGCCACCUCUCAGACAGUCACAGGAAAUCCUACAAGUGGAUCUCCUAUUGAGAGCAAAAGUGUUUUCCAUUCAUCUCCGCUCAACCCAAGCACACAUAUGGGAGAUUUGAGAGACAAUAAGCUACCAAGUCCUGCCAGAUUAUCUAAUGCACAGUCUGUGCUGAAAGAAAGCAAUACCAAUACAGCAGAAAUAAGGACAAUGCUCCCAGCUGUUGAUCCUGCUUUACCAGGCUAUAACAAUUUGAAGACUUCUUCUGACAACAAAAAAGUGAAGAGGGGGUCCUUUUCUGGUCCGAUUCCUCUCCGAUCAAGGUCAACAGAGAAUAUUGAUGCUGCCGCCGCAAGGCACAGCUCUGCACAUCAGCCAACAAUUCAUGUGAGAGUGUCACCCAGUUCCUCCCCGCCACCCAUAUCCUCACCCAGAAUUAAGGAGCUUCACGAGCUACCGCGACCGCCCACUGGUGCAUCAAGAAAUACAGCAUUUUCUAGUUUAGUCGCUCACUCUGCGCCGUUGGUACCAAAUUCUGCCCCGUUGGCAUCCAGAGGCCACGCAGGGCAGGACCAUUUUAAUUUUAGGGCCAGGCAAACACCACCAAGUGCUCCACAAACUGCAUCGCCUCUACCAACACCGCCUGGGCCUAUAUCCCGUAGUUUUUCUAUACCUUCUAGGGGCAUUAGAACAGGUAUUUCAGAUGGCAAAGAAACAGAAGAUAAUCAAGAUAAAGGGGCCGCUAGAAUGAGCCUCUCUUCUCUUCCUUCAACACAAACAUUCUUGGAGGAUCGUCAACCUUUGCCAGCAGCUGCCGAGUCAGUUAGCAGAACAUAG
rnacentral:rRNA from 1 species